GGCUGGGUAGCUCAAUGGUAGAGCGUCUGACUUCGCAAGUCAGAAGGUGUAGGUUCGAAUCCUGCCCCGGCUA
rnacentral:tRNA from 3 species